UACGUAGGGUGCAAGCGUUGUCCGGAAUUAUUGGGCGUAAAGAGCUCGUAGGUGGCCAACUAAGUCAGACGUGAAAUCCCUCGGCUUAACCGGGGAACUGCGUCUGAUACUGGAUGGCUUGAGUUUGGGAGAGGGACGCGGAAUUCCAGGUGUAGCGGUGAAAUGCGUAGAUAUCUGGAGGAACACCGGUGGCGAAGGCGGCGUCCUGGACCAACACUGACACUGAGGAGCGAAAGCCAGGGGAGCAAACGGG
rnacentral:rRNA from 1 species